GACGAACGCUGGCGGCGUGCCUAAUACAUGCAAGUAGAACGCUGAUGGCGGAGCUUGCUUCUCUGGAUGAGUUGCGAACGGUUGAGUAACGCGUAGGUAACCUGCCUGGUAGCGGGGGAUAACUAUUGGAAACGAUAGCUAAUACCGCAUAACAGUAGAUAUCGCAUGAUAUCUACUUGACAGGUGCAAUUGCAUCACUACCAGCUGGACCUGCGUUGUAUUAGCUAGUUGGUGAGGUAACGGCUCACCAAGGCGACGAUACAUAGCCGACCUGAGAGGGUGAUCGGCCACACUGGGACUGAGACACGGCCCAGACUCCUACGGGAGGCAGCAGUAGGGAAUCUUCGGCAAUGGACGGAAGGCUGACCGAGCAACGCCGCGUGAGUGAAGAAGGGUUUCGGAUCGUAAAGCUCUGUUGUAAGAGAAGAACGAGUGUGAGAGUGGAAAGUUCACACUGUGACGGUAUCUUACCAGAAAGGGACGGCUAACUACGUG
rnacentral:rRNA from 1 species